rnacentral:misc_RNA from 1 species
GUUCCAUCAUCAUCCCGGAGCCACCGUGCACCUAUGAUGGAUUGUUGUGAACGCGGUCCUGCACGCAUUUCUGGACCAAAACGGCGAACCGGUUUCCCUUCUAGAUGUAACAAGCUAGGACAAAAUUUCUCUCCAUGGCCAAGGAUACCACAGAUGUAGCAGAAGUUAGGUAACUUCUCAUAGCGGAAUUCCACCUUAAACCAUUCUUCCCCCUUUUUGCGAAGAUGGUAAUCUGUCCACAAUGGAUUUCUGACAUCCA